rnacentral:rRNA from 1 species
AACGAACGCUGGCGGCAUGCCUAACACAUGCAAGUCGAACGAGACCUUCGUGUCUAGUGGCGCACGUGUGCGUAACGCGUGGGAACCUGCCCUUAGGUUCGGAAUAACUCCCCGAAAGGGGUCCUAAUACCGGAUAAUGUCUUCGGACCAAAGAUUUAUCGCCUUUGGAUGGGCCCGCGUUGGAUUAGCUAGUUGGUAGGGUAAAAGCAUACCAAGGAGACGUUCCAUAGCUGGUCUGAGAGGAUGAUCAGCCACACUGGGAAUGAGACACGGACCAGACUCGUACGGGAGGGAGGAGUGGGGAAUAUUGGACAAUGGGGGAAAGCCUGAUAAAGCAAUGCCGCGGGAGUGAGGAAGGCCUUAGGGUUGUAAAGCUCUUUUAGCCGGGAUGAGAAUGACAGUAACGGGAGAAUAAGCUCCGGCUAACUCCGUG